rnacentral:rRNA from 1 species
GCACGGACCAAGGAGUCUAGCAUGUGUGCGAGUCGUGGGAGUUACGGCAAAGUUGUCGUAGUACCCCAGGCGUAAUGAAAGUGAGCCAAACUGUGAGAUGAAUGAAUUUUUGUCUUCACUGUGGGAUGAUCCCUUUGGCAUGUCCCGAAGCGGCGGGGGGACCGUGUGUUGCAGUCAGUGGCCGGGUGAGUUAUUUUCCCCGGCCCUCCUGAAUCUGUGGCCCUUCCCUCGUCGCGUUAGGGGCUGUCAGUACUCUCACGGGAGGGGGCGGAAUCCCGGGACUCGUCGUUCAAGCGACCGCAUGCGAGCAUUCAUUAGCUUGGGGGUGGCAUGUUGCUGCUGUACUUCUGUGCAUGUGUGCAGGCCCCCUUUUAGCGUGUGUGUUAGCGUGUGUGGAGCUGACGAGCACCCUGAGCAGACAUGUUAGUACCCGAAAGAUGGUGAACUAUGCCCGGGGAGGACGAAGCUAGAGGAAACUCUGGUGGAGGUCCGCCGCGGUUCUGACGUGCAAAUCGAUCGCCAGAUCUGGGUAUAGGGGCGAAAGACCAAUCGAACCAUCUAGUAGCUGGUUCCCCCCGAAAUUUCCCUCAGGAUAGCUGGUACUUGUCAAUGAGUUACAUCCUGUAAAGAGAAUGACUGGAGGUCUUGGGGGUGUAAUACCCUCAACCUACUCUCAAACUUUAAAUGGGUGAGAUGCCGGGCUUUCUUAACUGAAGCCGACAGGCGGUAAAUCAGAGUACCAAGUGGGCCAAUUUUGGUAAGCAGAACUGGCGAUGUGGGAUGCACCAGUAGUGCGAGUUAAAGGGCCAAAACAGAAGGCUAAGUGGGUCCAAAAAAGGUGUCACUUGCUAUAGACAGCAGGGCGGUGGCCAUGGAAGUCGGCAUCCGCUAAGGAGUGUGUAACAACUCACCUGCCGAAGCAAGUGGCCCUGAAAAUGGAUGGCACUUAAGAAUUCUCCUGACACUCGGCCGCCAGUAAACUUUAAAGUUGGCAAUCGGGUCGGAGGGUAACUGUCCUCCGGCUCUCAUGCCCUGGCGGGUAGGGGGGCGUGGCGGUUAGCCAGGAAGGAUCGAGCGUGAGCUGGUCUGGAGCUGCCGUUAGUGCGAAUCUUGGUGGUAGUAGCAAACAUGGUCUGGCGAGACUCCCGACGACCAGAUUGUCGAAGGGUUCCAUGAUAACACCUCUUGGACAUGGAUUAGUCAGUCCUAAACCCAAGUCUAACGACUUAUUACCGCACAGCAAAGGACGCGCGAGCACGCAGGGCUCACUGAGAGAGAGAGAGAGAGAAAUCUUUCUUUUCUUUCAGUGUAGUGAUCCAUGGUGGUAGCAGCUUAGUCCCUGUAUUCCACAGAUUGGUGUAWUGGAGAGGGGGUCUGGUGCCCGCCUCUCUCCCGAAGUGCUCGCAGCAUCUGCUAUUAUAUAGGGACAUGGAGCAAAGGUUCUCUUUUUAUCGGCGGCAGCUAGCUAGCUUGCUUGCUGUCGUCGGUGGAGGCAACCCGUCCCUCA